rnacentral:rRNA from 1 species
GACGAACGCUGGCGGCGUGCUUAACACUUGCAAGUCGAACGAUGAAGCCGGAGCUUGCUCUGGUGAAUUAGUGGCGAACGGGUGAGUAACACGUGAGUAACCUGCCCUUGACUCUGGGAUAACUGCGGGAAACUGUAGCUAAUACCGGAUACGACCCUCGGAGGCAUCUCCUGGGGGUGGAAAGAAUUUCGGUCAAGGAUGGACUCGCGGCCCAUCAGCUAGUUGGUGAGGUAAAGGCUCACCAAGGCGACGACGGGUAGCCGGCCUGAGAGGGUGACCGGCCACACCGGGACUGAGACACGGCCCAGACUCCUACGGGAGGCAGCAGUGGGGAAUAUUGCACAAUGGGCGCAAGCCUGAUGCAGCAACGCCGCGUGAGGGAUGACGGCCUUCGGGUUGUAAACCUCUUUUAGCAGGGAAGAAGCGAAAGUGACGGUACCUGCAGAAAAAGCACCGGCUAACUACGUGCCAGCAGCCGCCGUAA